UUUACUCUAUGUAUGUGAUUGUGAUUUUACGAGGAAUAUGAAGAUAUAUGAGGUAGAUGAAAAAUACUGAGUCGAAAAAGAUUGUUGAUUAAACAAUUGUCAAUAGCGUUGACUGUUGUUUUUUGUAUGUUUAGUUAAAAGAGUGUUCUUUGGUGUGAGGCAGUGUGUGGGUGUUGCGGGUUGUUGAUGCGAACACCAAGUAUGCGUUGGAAGAAACCCGGGAUUAAAGGUGUUGUGUACUGUUGGAUUCUUUGUUGCCUUGUGUGGUGUGUGAGUUGGUAUGGAUCCCUGGGAUCCCCUGGAUACGACCUCAAAGCCUUAAGGAGAGUGGGUGUUUACAAGGAGUCGCAACUUCACUCUUGGAGCAGUCGUGCUCCAGUUGUGGCAAGUGGAGAGGAUCCUGGCGAAAUGGGGCAAGGAGUUGUCCUCGCUCCAGAACUGGAUCCAAAGAAAAAGGAACUCUUUAAAAUCAAUCAAUUCAACCUCUUGGCCUCGGAUCGCAUUCCCUUGAACCGCUCUCUCCAGGACGUGCGCCUCCCUAGUUGUCGUGGUAAAGUUUAUCCAGCACUCCUUCCUUCGACAAGUGUUGUGAUAGUAUUUCAUAAUGAAGCCUGGUCAACUCUUCUUCGCACAAUAUAUUCAAUUAUCAACCGUUCUCCACAUGAAUUACUUGAGGAAAUCAUACUUGUCGAUGAUGCUUCCGAGCACAAUCACCUGAAAGAUAAACUUGAAAAUUACAUCUCGAGUCUUGGUGUAUUAAUUCAUUUAUACCGAACAGGAAAGCGAUCUGGAUUAAUCAGAGCUCGACUUUUGGGAGCCAAACAUGCAAGAGGUUCUGUCAUAACAUUUUUAGAUGCACAUUGUGAAUGUACUGAGGGAUGGUUAGAACCUAUGCUGUCAGAAAUCGCUAAUAAUAGAAAAGCUGUUGUUUGUCCUAUAAUUGAUGUAAUAUCUGAUGAUACUUUUGAGUAUAUUACUGCUUCAGAUAUGACUUGGGGUGGAUUUAAUUGGAAAUUAAAUUUUAGAUGGUAUCGUGUUCCUCAACGAGAAAUGAAUCGACGUGGGGGGGACCGUUCUCUUCCAGUUCAAACUCCAGCUAUGGCGGGUGGGCUCUUUUCUAUUGAUAAAGACUAUUUUUACGAAAUUGGAACUUAUGAUGAAGGAAUGGAUAUAUGGGGCGGUGAAAAUCUUGAAAUGUCGUUUAGAGUUUGGCAAUGUGGUGGUAUUUUAUUAAUUACACCUUGUUCACACGUUGGGCAUGUUUUUCGGGACAAGAGUCCGUAUACUUUUCCAGGUGGUGUUGCUAAAAUAGUUAACAAAAAUGCUGCACGUGUGGCUGAUGUUUGGAUGGAUGAAUGGCGUGAUUUUUAUUACUCAAUGAAUCCAGGUGCAAGAAAUGUUGACGCAGGUGAUAUUUCAGAACGCCUAAGCUUAAGAAGUAAUCUUCAUUGUAGAAGUUUUCGUUGGUAUCUAGAGACUAUAUAUCCAGAAUCUCAAAUGCCCUUAGAUUAUUAUUAUCUGGGUGAGAUUAAAAAUGAAGGAUCUCACAAUUGCUUAGACACCAUGGGACGAAAAAGUGGAGAAAGAUUAGGCUUAGGUUAUUGCCAUGGUCUUGGAGGCAAUCAAGUUUUUUCUUAUACUAAAAGACAGCAGAUAAUGUCUGAUGAUAAUUGUUUGGACGCCUCUGGUACAGUGGGUAUUGUGAAACUUGUACGUUGUCACGGAAUGGAAGGAAAUCAAGCAUGGAGAUUUAUUACUGAUGACCUUUUUAUAUCGAACAUCUUGAGUGUUAGGCAUUAAGUCAUACAAGGGAGAAAAAAAAUUGGGUUGAGUUGAAAGGCUCAUGUUCAGUUUCGAUAAAGAUAGUUCAAUUCGGCAUUUGAAUUCCAACCUGUGUUUAACAUCAAAGAAAAAUGAUCCCAUAAAUCCAAUUCUAGAACCUUGUAAAAAUGAAAUGAAUCAAAAAUGGAUUAUGAAUUCAAAAUAUAAAUGGCAAGCAGAUAAUUGAGGUGACAACUCUUAAAAUAUGUAUGGCUAAUUAUAUUUAAGAAUCAAAUAUAGCUAAUGACGUUAAUAAUGUUACGCUAGGACUAUCUUAAAGCAAUAUUUGAUUUUAGUAACUAAUGUUUUUUACGAAAAUAUCAUAUAUAAUCAAUCUUUGAAAUUGUAAAAUGGAACUGUGAUAUUAUCUGUUGUAUGUGAUUAACUCUUGUUUCAUUUGAAAAGAACUAAUUAUUUAGAUAAAUAAAUAGUUAAUUUUA
rnacentral:misc_RNA from 1 species